GACAUGAAAGAAAAACAAUCAGCAUUAGUAAAACUAAGAAAUGAAGCUCAGGAAAAGAAUUAGAAAUAAAAGAAAAUUAUUUCAGAAAUGGAGACUAAAGUAGGAGGAACAUAAACAACGGAUAAUGUGUUAAGAAAAAUAGAAGAUGAAAAAAAUUUAAAAAGUCAGUCAACCUUGGGACAAGAGUCUGUGAAGAAGAAAACCAGAGCAAGGGAACAGAAAAAAUACUGUAGAAAUGUCAUUUAAGUUUAUUUAUGUGAAUCAGUCCUUUGCUCCUUCCCCAGACCAAGAAGUUGGAACUCUCUAUGAGUGUUUUGGCAGUGAUGGUAAACUGGUUUUACAUUACUGCAAGUCUCAGGCAUGGGGAUGAACCACAAAGAAAAUCAUCUUGCUACAUAAAAUGGAUUUUCACAGAAGAGACAGCUCUGAAAAGUUUUGAUGCUUGUGGCAAGAGACUUAACAGACGUGAUCUAUUCAGUAUGUGUCUACUCUAUGUUUAUGCAUAAGAAAACAUCCAUAGCAUGAAUGGACUCAGAAAAAUGUGAUUUGUAUUAAUAUACCAGUCAUCAUAAAAGAUGGUCAUUAUAGUACACCCAUUGCUCCUACUUGUUACUAUUAUUGCUGCAGAUCUGCCUCCAAGGUUGAAAAGGAGACUAAGACUGUAUAAACGUCUUCAUUGCCAGUUCUCAAAA
rnacentral:sRNA from 1 species